UACGGGGGGGAGCAAGCGUUUGUUCGGAUUUACUGGGCGUAAAGGGCGCGUAGGCGGCCACUGCAAGUCGGUUGUGAAAUCUCCGGGCUUAACCCGGAAAGGUCAGCCGAUACUGCAGGGCUAGAGUGCAGAAGGGGCAACUGGAAUUCUCGGUGUAGCGGUGAAAUGCGUUAGAUAUCGAGAGGAACACCUGCGGCGAAGGCGGGUUGCUGGGCUGACACUGACGCUGACAGCGCGAAAGCUAGGGGAGCGAACGGG
rnacentral:rRNA from 1 species